GGUGCGCAGGCGCGCUGUCGCCCGGCCGGUAGCUAAGGAGGCCCAGCUGUGAUCCCGAGGCUUUGUAGGCGCCGCAGCCCUGGCCCUCUAGAGGCCGACGGAGGAGUGCGGGGGAAGUUAGCUUGCGCCUGUCUCGUCAGCCGUGCACGAGAAAAAAAAGGACCUUCGAGAAGAACAAGGGAGGGCAAGAGUUACCGAGUACAGGGACAUCUAUGUGGCCGCUCUGCUUUCCCGCCGUCACCUGCUGUUGAACUCCGGCCGCAUCGCGGUGUCCGGAGCCGCCUGGCCUGGAGUAUGCGCUGAGCGUCACCUAGGCAACCACCCCUGCACCUGUGGAUCAGGGUCUCGCUCUGUUGCCAAGGGUAGAAUGCAGUGUCGGGAUCAUAGCUCACUACAGACUUGACAUCCUGGACUCAAGAGAUCCUCCUGUGUCAGCCUCCCGAGUAGCUGGGACCACUGGCGCGCGACAAAUAAUUUGAAAGUGGGAGGAGGGGAACAGAACCACAUCAAAUGGCAGAUAUCAUAGAAUGAGAACUGAAUAUACGCGUUUUGUGGGAAACGCGUUCUUUUCCCCUUUCUCUAAGAUUCGCUUUUAAUUCACUAGCCACUAACCAGUUACCUAUCUCAUUACAGAUAUAAAAAACAAAACGUAGUAGUGCCUUUUUAAGUAUGAGUUACUUGUUAUUUAUAUAUCACUUUCUUCCAUGCUAUCGUUGAACUGUCUUUGAUGUAGCACGACCUUAAAAGCAGAGCUUUUAUACCACAAGAUCUUUCAACCCUUGUGAAAUUUAACCACCCAUUGAGAUUCACCUCUUUAGAGAACUAGAAAUUUUUUCCUAAAAUAUAUUUCAAAAAGUUGUUGAGAUACAGUACACAGGAAGAAACCUAAGAAAUGCUGAUUAUUUGUAGUCACAAGCAUUAAUAAGUGCUUUGCUACGAGGAAGUGUCUGAGAAACUAUUCGUGUAUUUUUCUUAAACAACCUAGGCUUGCACAGGAUCACAAAGAAAAAUCUUAAAUUCAAAGUCCGCUGGAGAAGAAAGAAAAUCAAAAUGGCUACAAUUGGUGUUGUGUAUUAAAUAAAAUUAAAAGUACAAAGAAAGACCCAGUCAGUACUAACUAGUACUAUCAAGAUCACAUUCCUCUCCCACUUUUGCACACUCCAUUCCUCUUUAAGAAGAUAAAUCCUUAACCGUCUGUUUUUCCUAGCUGGUCACAAAGACAAAAUACUAGUAAGUACUUUGGAUUUCUUCACCAUCCACAACCAAAUAACAGCCUAACCUGUCUAUUUUGCUUUUGCCAUCUUUCCUAAAUUCUCCAUGUUUUUCUUCUGGACCAUGCCAUCCAUCUCCUUGAAAUUCACUUCCUAGCCUCCAGUUAUUCCUUCCUCCAGUCUAUUCUCAUGAACACCGGAUGUGUUUUCCCAAAGCACAGGUGAGCUUAGGUUAGUCACCUGCUCAAAAACAUCCAAUAACUUCCCAGUGUUUAGAACACUCUCUUCAAACUUUCUCCACGUUCUUUCUAGUCAUACACUCUAACAAUCCCGCUUCCUUUUUACAUUCACACUGACUAUGCUCCAAGAGGAAUGUAAAGAAGCAAUAUAUGUUCUGGUUGAGAUAAGGCAUGUACCAUAAAAAGUUAAGAAAGAAGCCAAUCCAAGGAUGUAUGAAUAACAGUAUAAGAUGAUAGGAAAGAUGGCACAGGCAACAUAGCUUGGUCAAGCAGGUGGAGCAAUAGGCACAAUCUCUUGGGAGAAGUGAGUAACACUAAUGCUUUGUCUAAUAAAGUAAUUCCUUACAGUUCUAUGGUA
rnacentral:lncRNA from 1 species